GGACGGAAAAUUAACGUUUGUUAACUUUGUUGAUUUAAUACAUGAAUUGUCUCAUAGAUGCCACAUCAAUAAUUAAUUUUUUUAAUUAAAAAAUUAAAAAUUUAUUUAAAAAAAUUGUUAAAAUUGUUAAAAAGUAUAAAAUUAUAAAAAAAUAUUUUUAAUUUUUUUAAAAUUAAUUAAUUACUAACGUGAUAAUCCACAUAUAUGUCACCUUAACAAAGUUAAGAAACGUUAACUUUUUUUAUCUA
rnacentral:pre_miRNA from 1 species